rnacentral:rRNA from 1 species
GACGAACGCUGGCGGCGUGCUUAACACAUGCAAGUCGAACGAAAAGAGGGAAAGAGCCUGCUCUUUCCGGAAUUGAGUGGCAAACGGGUGAGUAACACGUAAACAACCUGCCUUCAGGAUGGGGACAACAGACGGAAACGACUGCUAAUACCGAAUAAGUUCCAAGAGCCGCAUGGCCCAUGGAAGAAAAGGUGGCCUCUACCUGUAAGCGAUCGCCUGAAGAGGGGUUUGCGUCUGAUUAGCUGGUUGGAGGGGUAACGGCCCACCAAGGCGACGAUCAGUAGCCGGUCUGAGAGGAUGAACGGCCACACUGGAACUGAGACACGGUCCAGACUCCUACGGGAGGCAGCAGUGGGGAAUCUUCCGAAAUGGGCGAAAGCCUGACGGAGCAACGCCGCGUGAGUGAUGACGGCCUUCGGGUUGUAAAACUCUGUGAUCCGGGACGAAAAGGCAGAGUGCGAAGAACAAACUGCAUUGACGGUACCGGAAAAGCAAGCCACGGCUAACUACGUG